UACGUAGGGGGCAAGCGUUGUCCGGAAUCAUUGGGCGUAAAGAGCGUGUAGGCGGUCCGGUAAGUCCGCUGUGAAAGUCGAGGGCUCAACCCUGGGAUGCCGGUGGAUACUGUCGGGCUCGAGUCCGGAAGAGGCGAGUGGAAUUCCUGGUGUAGCGGUGAAAUGCGCAGAUAUCAGGAGGAACACCAAUGGCGAAGGCAGCUCGCUGGGACGUGACUGACGCUGAGACGCGAAAGCGUGGGGAGCAAACAGG
rnacentral:rRNA from 1 species